AGGAACUAUAUUUCCUGUAUUAAAAUUAGUUCACAUGGAUUCAAGUUUUUAGUUCACGCAAAUCUAAUUCAGUUCAUGAUUUCUGUAUUGAAAACCAGGCCAGUUGUUUUUUUAAUUUUAGUUAACUUUUUUAAAAAUCCACUUUAUAGUUCAUGGAAAAUAAAAUUAGUUCAAUCGAAUUCAAAAAUAGUUCAUCAACAGUCAAGUUAUAAUGUACAAAAAUCCAUAUUCGGUUCUACAACAUUCAAAGUCCAGUUCACCAAGUUCAAAUUCGGUUCAUCAAAUCACAAUUCUAGUUCAGUAGAUACAUAUAUAGUUCACUUGAAUACUCAUCAUAAUCUCAAAGUUUAGUUCACUAAAAAACACCAUCUAAUUCAGUACAUUAAAAUUAGUUCACCUGGAUUCAAGUUUUCAAUUCACGCAAACCUAAUUCAGUUCAUGAAUUCUGCAAUGAAAACCAGGUCAGAUGUUUUUUAUUUUAGUUAACUUUUAAAAAAAAUCCAAAUUAUAGUUGAUGGAAAAUACAAUUAGUUCAUUUGAAUUCAAAAAUAGUUCAUCAACAACCAAAUUAUAAUGAACCAAAAUCCUUAUUCAGUUCUCCAACAUUCAAAGUCUAGUUCAACAAGUUCAAAUUCGGUUCAUCAAAUCAUAAUUUUAAUUCACUAGAUUCACAUUCAGUUCACUUCAAUACUCAUCAUAAUCUCAAAGAUUAGUUCACUGAAUUCAAAUUCAGGUCAUUAUAAUUAGUUCACUUGGAUUCAAGUUGUUUUUUGUAUUCAGUUCACUUGAAUACUCAUGAUAAUCUCAAAGUUUAGUUCAAUGAAUUCAAAUUCAUCUAAAUUAGUUCAUGGAAAAUAAAAUUAGUUCAAUUGAAUUCAAAAAUAGUUCAUCAACAGUGAAAUUAUAAUGAACCAAAAUCCUUAUUAAGUUCUCCAACAAGCAAAGUCUACUUCACCUAGUUAAAAAUCGAUUCAUCAAAUCGUAAUUUUAGUUCACAAGAUUCACAUUCAGUUCACUUCAAUACUCAUCAUAAUCUCAAAGUUUAGUUCACUGAAUUUAAAUUCCGUUCAUUAAAAUUAGGUCACCUGGAUUCAAGUUUUUAGUUCACACAAACCUAAUUCAGUUCAUGAUUUCUGUAUUGAAAACCAGGUCAGUUGUUUUUUAUUUUAGUCAACUUUUUUUAAAAAUCCAAAAUAUAGUUCAUGGAAAAUAAAAUUAGUUCAAUCGAAUUCAAAAAUAGUUCAUCAAUAGUCCAAUUAUAAUGUACCAAAAUCCAUAUUCGGUUCUACAACAUUCAAAGUCCAGUUCACCAAGUUCAAAUUCUGUUCAUCAAAUCACAAUUUUAGUUCACUAGAUUCAUAUUCAGUUCACUUGAAUACUCAUCAUAAUCUCGAAGUUUAGUUCCCUAAAAAACACCAUCUAAUUUAGUUCAUUAAAAUUAGUUCAUCUGGAUUCAAGUUUUUAGUUCACGCAAAUCUAACUCAGUUCAUGAAAAUUGCAACGAAAACCAUGUAAGUUGUUUUUUAUUUUAAUUAGAUUUUUUUAAAAUACAAAUUAUAGUUCAUGGGAAAUAAAAGUUGUUCAAUCGAAUUAAAAAAUAGUUCAUCAAUAGUCAAAUUAUAAUGAACCAAAAUCCAUAUUCGGUUCUACAACACUGAUAAUCUAGUCCGCCAAGUUCAAAUUCGGUUCAUCAAAUCAUAAUUUUAGCUCACUAGACUCAUAUUUAGUUCACUACAAUACUCAUCAUAAUCUCAAAGUUCAGUUCACUGAAUUCAAAUUCAGUUCAUUAAAAUUAGUUCACCUGGAUUCAAGUUUUUAGUUCACGCAAGUUUUCAGUUCAUGAUUUCUGCAAUGAAAACCAGGCCAGUUGUUUUUUUUUUAUUUUAGUUAGCUUUUUUAAAAAAUCCAAAUUAUACAUAGAUAAUCUAGUUCAGUUCAUGAUUUCUGUAUUGAAAACCAGGUCAGUUGUUUUUUAUUUUAGUUAACUUUUUUAAAAAUCCAAAUUAUACUUCAUCAAAAAUAAAAUUAGUUCAAUCGAAAUCAAAAAUAGUUCAUCAACAGUAAAAUUAUAAUGUACCAAAAUCCAUAUUCGGUUCUACAACAUUCAAAGUCCUGUUCACAAGUUCAAAUUUGGGUCAUAAAAUCACAAGUAUAGUUCACUAGAUUCAUAUUCAAUUCAAUUGAAUACUCAUCAUAAUUUCAAAAUUUAUUUCACUGAAUUCAAAUUCAGUUCAACCAAACUAGUUCAUUUAGAUUCAAAUUUUUAGGUCACGCAAUUCUAAUUCAGUUCAUGAUAUAUACAAUGAAAACCAGGCCAGUUGUUUUUUAUUUUAGUGAUAUUUUUUAAAAAAUCCAAAUUAUACAUUGAUAAUCUAGUUCACCAAGUUCAAAUUCGAUUCAUUAAAUCAUAAUUUUAGUUCACUAGAUUCACAUUCAGUUCACUUCAAUACUCAUCAUAAUCUCAAAGUCUAGUUCACUGAAUUCAAAUUCAGUUCAUUAAAAUUAGUUCACCUGGAUUCAAGUUUUCAGUUCACGCAAACCUAAUUCAGUUCAUGAAUUCUGCAAUGAAAACCAGGUCAGUUGUUUUUUUUAUUUCAGUUAACUUUUUUAAAAAUCCAAAUUAUAGUUCAUGGAAAAUACAAUUAGUUCAUUUGAAUUCAAAGUCUACUUCACCAAGUUCAAAUUCGUUUCAUCAAAUCAUAAUUUUAGUUCACUAGAUUCACAUUUAAUUCACUUCAAUACUCAUCAUAAUCUCAAAGUUUAGUUCACUGAAUUCAAAUUCAGUUCAUUAAAAUUAGUUCACCUGGAUUCAAGUUUUGAGUUCACGCAAAUCUAAUUCAGUUCAUGAUUUCUAUAUUGAAAACCAGGUAAGUUAUUUUUUAUUUUAGUUAACUUUUUUUAAAAUCGAAAUUAUACAUUGAUAAUCUAGUUCACCAUGUUCAAAUUCAGUUCAUUAAAUCAUAAUUUUAGUUCACUAGAUUCACAUUCAGUUCAGUUCAAUACUCAUCAUAAUCUCANNNNNNNNNNNNNNNNNNNNNNNNNNNNNNNNNNNNNNNNNNNNNNNNNNNNNNNNNNNNNNNNNNNNNNNNNNNNNNNNNNNNNNNNNNNNNNNNNNNNNNNNNNNNNNNNNNNNNNNNNNNNNNNNNNNNNNNNNNNNNNNNNNNNNNNNNNNNNNNNNNNNNNNNNNNNNCACGCAAAUCUAAUUCAGUUCAUGAUUUCUAUAUUGAAAACCAGGUAAGUUGUUUUUUAUUUUAGUUAAAUUUUUGUAAAAUCGAAAUUAUACAUUGAUAAUCUAGUUCACCAUGUUCAAAUUCAGUUCAUUAAAUCAUAAUUUUAGUUCACUAGAUUCACAUUCAGUUCAGUUCAAUACUCAUCAUAAUCUCAAAGUUUAGUUCAGUGAAUUCAAAUUCAGUUCAUUAAAAUUAGUUCACCUGGAUUCAAGUUUUUAGUUCACGCAAAUCUAAUUCAAUUCAUGAUUUCCGUAUUCAAAACCAGGCCAGUUGUUUUUUUAUUUUAGUUAACUUUUUAAAAAUCCAAAUUAUAUAUUGAUAAUCUAGUUCAACAAGUUCAAAUUCGGUUCAUUAAAUCAUAAUUUUAGUUCACUAGAUUCACAUUCAGUUCACUUCAAUACUCAUCAUAAUCUCAAAGUUUAGUUCACUGAUUUCAAAUUCAGUUCAUUAAAAUUAGUUCACCUGGAUUCAAGUUUUUAGUUCACGCAAACCUUAUUCAGAUCAUGAAUUCUGCAAUGAAAACCAGGUCAGUUGUUUUUUAUUUUAGUUAACUUUUUAAAAAAUCCAAAUUAUAGUUCAUGGAAAAUACAAUUAGUUCAUUUGUAUUCAAAGUCUACUUCACCAAGUUCAAAUUCGGUUCAUCAAAUCACAAGUAUAGUUCACUAGAUUUAUAUUCAAUUCAAUUGAAUACUCAUCAUAACUUCAAAAUUUAUUUCACUAAAUUCAAAUUCAGUUCAUUAAAAUUAGUUCACGUGGAUUCAAGUUUUUAGUUCACGCAAACCUAAUUCAGUUCAUGAUAUCUACAAUGAAAACCAG
rnacentral:lncRNA from 1 species